CCGCGGGGUGGACGAAAGCAGCGACUUUAUCCUCAGCCUUCUCCUCACUCGGCACCUGCCCCUCUGGCACUACCCAUUUUCCAGACUUGGAUCCCUAGGCGGGGCGGCGCUGUCCCCGUUUCCUAUCCCGACCUCCUACUCCACAGCAGGACUAGUAUUGUGAGUUCACAGGAGAUCCCUGAGGAGGCUCCACAGCUGGCUGGGGAAUAGCAAAUGAAUACAUGGGCUUGGAAAGCUGGGAGAGGAGUCCUGUGAACAACAGCAGUUCAAAGCUGGAGACCACCACACCUGUCAAGGAACCUAAGUGCAUGAGAGAAGGCUACUCAGGAGGCUGAAGCAGGAGGAUCACUUGAGUCCAGGAGUAUGAGGUUCCAGUGAGCUAUGAUGACACCACUGCACUCCAGCCUGGAUGACAGAGAGAGAUCCUAUCUCUAAAUAAAGAAAAAG